CAGCCGCCACGGUAAUGCGUAGGGUGCGGGCGUUAAUCGGAAUUACUGGGCGUAAAGCGUGCGCAGGCGGUUCGUUAAGACAGAUGUGAAAUCCCCGGGCUUAACCUGGGAACUGCAUUUGUGACUGGCGAGCUAGAGUAUGGCAGAGGGGGGUAGAAUUCCACGUGUAGCAGUGAAAUGCGUAGAGAUGUGGAGGAAUACCGAUGGCGAAGGCAGCCCCCUGGGCCAAUACUGACGCUCAUGCACGAAAGCGUGGGGAGCAAACAGGAUUAGAGACCCCUGUAGUCCCUGUCUCUUAUAA
rnacentral:rRNA from 1 species